UGAAGGAACGUUGAAGACGACGACGUUGAUAGGCCGGGUGUGUAAGCGCAGCGAUGCGUUGAGCUAACCGGUACUAAUGAACCGUGAGGCUUAACCUUACAACGCCGAAGCUGUU
rnacentral:rRNA from 1 species